CGUCACAAUAACUCCCAACUGUGUAGUUUUAUGUAGGCUUGCAGAGUGCUGCUACAGUGGAAGGAAGACUCGACUCUUGUCAACUCUUAUCUACAAUGAGCUCUCUCCGUAUCUUUAUCUUAAUCUUAUCUCUCCUUCUCUGUCAUGGAUUUGAGGAAUAUCCAGGAUUCGAGGAGCCCACAGAGGAGGGCGAGAUUAGUAUAAGACCAAUUUCGGCGGAACAUUCUCGAACAUUUCGCACGUACGUUGCAGAGUACGCGGUAGAUUGUGACCUGUUAACCAAAUCUAUCACCAUGCCCGAUGACACUGGUAUAGCCUGGCUAAAGAUAACACUAGACGGGGUGUACUGUGUAAGCAGAGUGGUGAGGUACCGGAGCUUGAAGAGAAGGAACAAUCACACUCACAUGUGUACACAGAGGGAGUGUGGGGUUUGUAAGGGCUACACUUGUAGGGAGUUCAAACUUUCAGUGUACGCGGAAAAUGCUGCACCGGAUACUGCAUCGGACACUGCACUGGACACUGCACCGGACACUGCACCGGACACUGCACCGGACACUAGUUGCAAGAUGGGGGAUACAGUGGAGUUCCGCACUGAUAAUGGGUAUUAUAUUGCUGGGUACGAUGUGGAAAUAUUUGUUGUUUCAAACUAAGAGUAAGACAUUUGUGUACAUAAUUGGAAUCGCAAGUACUGAUAAUUGAGUUCCAGUUGAUUUAUUGUUGUUCUUAAUUUUAUAUACGAUUUGUUUCAGCUUUCAAGAGUUUUUUAUUCUGUAUUUUCGGUGUUUAAUUAAAA